CUUUGCCAUCUUCGUCAGAAGUUGUCAACUCAAGGGUUGGCAUCCAGCACAGUUGGUGAUAAAGGGGUCUGUUUCCUUGCCCUGCCAUAUGGCGCGGCAAAAAAUCUACGUAGCUGCGAAUGCCGACAAUAGGUAAAUCCGAACUCCGCAAAGCGCAG
rnacentral:ncRNA from 1 species